rnacentral:rRNA from 1 species
AUACAGAGGGUGCGAGCGUUAAUCAGAAUGACUGGGCGUAAAGGGCGUGUAGGUGGUUGACUAGGUUUGAUGUGAAAUCCCCGGGCUUAACCUGGGAAUGGCGUCGAAAACGGGUCGACUCGAGUGAGACAGAGGGUUGUGGAAUUUCCGGUGUAGCGGUGAAAUGCGUAGAUAUCGGAAAGAACAUCAGUGGCGAAGGCGACAACCUGGGUCUUAACUGACACUGAGGCGCGAAGGCGUGGGGAGCAAACAGGAUUAGAUACCCUGGUAGUCCACGCGGUAAACGAUGAGAACUAGCUGUGAGGUGUGGGGCAAUUGCUCUGCGCGACGUAGCGAAGCUAACGCGUUAAGUUCUCCGCCUGGGGAGUACGGCCGCAAGGUUAAA